rnacentral:tRNA from 1 species
GAUGAGGUGGCCGAGUGGUUAAGGCGAUGGACUGCUAAUCCAUUGUGCUCUGCAUUCAUGGGUUUGAAUCCCAUCCUCAUCG